rnacentral:rRNA from 1 species
CAAAGUCGAGCGAGCUUGCCUAUUGAAAUCUUCGGGAAUGGACAUAGAUACAAGCUAGCGGCGGAUGGGUGAGUAACGCGUGGGUAACCCUGCCCCUUAAGUCUGGGAUACCAUUUGGAAACAGAUGCUAAUACCGGAUAAAAAGCUACUUUCGCAUGAAAGAAGUUUAAAAGGCGGCGUAAAGCUGUCGCUAAAAGGAUGGACCUGCGAUGCAUUAGCUAGUUGGUAAGGUAACGGCUUACCAAGGCGAUGAUGCAUAGCCGAGUUGAGAGACUGAUCGGCCACAUUGGGACUGAGACACGGCCCAAACUCCUACGGGAGGCAGCAGUAGGGAAUCUUCCACAAUGGACGCAAGUCUGAUGGAGCAACGCCGCGUGAGUGAAGAAGGUUUUCGGAUCGUAAAGCUCUGUUGUUGGUGAAGAAGGAUAGAGGUAGUAACUGGCCUUUAUUUGACGGUGAUCAACCAGAAAGUCACGGCUAACUACGUGCCAGCAGCCGCGGUAAAU